rnacentral:pre_miRNA from 1 species
GUACUACUCCCUCCGUUCCAAAUUACUCGUCGCAGAAAUGGAUGUAUCUAGAACUAAAAUACAUCUAGAUACAUCCAUACCUGCGACAAGUAAUUCGGAACGGAGGGAGUAUUUC